rnacentral:rRNA from 1 species
AUUGAACGCUGGCGGCAGGCCUAACACAUGCAAGUCGAGCGGUAGAGAGGUGCUUGCAUCUCUUGAGAGCGGCGGACGGGUGAGUAAUGCCUAGGAAUCUGCCUAGUGGUGGGGGAUAACGUUCGGAAACGGACGCUAAUACCGCAUACGUCCUACGGGAGAAAGCGGGGGAUCUUCGGACCUCGCGCCAUUAGAUGAGCCUAGGUCGGAUUAGCUAGUUGGUGAGGUAAUGGCUCACCAAGGCGACGAUCCGUAACUGGUCUGAGAGGAUGAUCAGUCACACUGGAACUGAGACACGGUCCAGACUCCUACGGGAGGCAGCAGUGGGGAAUAUUGGACAAUGGGCGAAAGCCUGAUCCAGCCAUGCCGCGUGUGUGAAGAAGG